rnacentral:misc_RNA from 1 species
GAGAAGCUUCAAGUUCUUAUCAACUGAUCUUUGCCACGGGAGAGGAUGAUGUUAGUGCAGAGCUCAGUCCUUCUUUUUAUGAGUGUGAGAAGAAUUCUGUAAACAAUUCUCUUGUUUAUGAGGAGAGGAUGAUGUUUUGAUGUUUCUGUAAACAAUUCUCUUCGUAGAAGUAGAUGACCUGUUUGUAACUUUUCUAACAAUAAAAUCACUCAUCCUUGUUCC